UGGGUAACCUGCCCAUAAGACUGGGAUAACUCCGGGAAACCGGGGCUAAUACCGGAUAACAUUUUGAACCGCAUGGUUCGAAAUUGAAAGGCGGCUUCGGCUGUCACUUAUGGAUGGACCCGCGUCGCAUUAGCUAGUUGGUGAGGUAACGGCUCACCAAGGCAACGAUGCGUAGCCGACCUGAGAGGGUGAUCGGCCACACUGGGACUGAGACACGGCCCAGACUCCUACGGGAGGCAGCAGUAGGGAAUCUUCCGCAAUGGACGAAAGUCUGACGGAGCAACGCCGCGUGAGUGAUGAAGGCUUUCGGGUCGUAAAACUCUGUUGUUAGGGAAGAACAAGUGCUAGUUGAAUAAGCUGGCACCUUGACGGUACCUAACCAGAAAGCCACGGCUAACUACGUGCCAGCAGCCGCGGUAAUACGUAGGUGGCAAGCGUUAUCCGGAAUUAUUGGGCGUAAAGCGCGCGCAGGUGGUUUCUUAAGUCUGAUGUGAAAGCCCACGGCUCAACCGUGGAGGGUCAUUGGAAACUGGGAGACUUGAGUGCAGAAGAGGAAAGUGGAAUUCCAUGUGUAGCGGUGAAAUGCGUAGAGAUAUGGAGGAACACCAGUGGCGAAGGCGACUUUCUGGUCUGUAACUGACACUGA
rnacentral:rRNA from 1 species